rnacentral:rRNA from 1 species
AUACGGAGGAUCCGAGCGUUAUCCGGAUUUAUUGGGUUUAAAGGGUGCGCAGGCGGCCAUUUAAGUCAGCGGUUAAAUCGUGGGGCUCAACCCCAUUCUGCCGUUGAUACUGGGUGGCUUGAUUGCGGUCGAGGUUGGCGGAAUUCGUUGUGUAGCGGUGAAAUGCAUAGAUAUGACGAAGAACACCGAUUGCGUAGGCAGCUGACCAGACCGCAAAUGACGCUCAUGCACGAAAGUGCGGGGAUCGAACAGAAUUAGAUACCCCGGUAGUCCGCACAGUAAACGAUGAAUUCUUGUUUUCGGCGAUAUAAUGUCGGAGGCAAAGCGAAAGCGAUAAGUAUUCCACCUGGGGAGUACGCCGGCAACGGUGAAACUCAAAGGAAUUGACGGGG